UAACACAUGCAAGUCGAACGGNAAAGGUCUCUUCGGAGAUACUCGAGNUGGCGAACNGGGUGAGUAACACGNUGGGNUGAUCUGCCCUGCACUUUGGGNAUAAGCCUGGGAAACUGGGUCUAAUACCGNGAUAGGACCGCGCCAUGCAUGUGGUGNUGGUGGAAAGCUAUUUGCGGUGUGGGAUGGGCCCGCGGCCUAUCAGCUUGUUGGUGGGGUGAUGGCCUACCAAGGCGACGANCGGGUAGCCGGCCUGAGAGGGUGUCCGGCCACANCUGGGACUGAGAUACGGCCCAGACUCCUACGGGAGNGCAGCANGUGGGGAAUAUUGCACAAUGGGCGCAAGCCUGAUGCAGCGACGCCGCGUGGGGGAUGACGGCCUUCGGGUUGUAAACCUCUUUCACCAUCGNGCGAAGCCUUCAGCUUUUGUUGGGGGUGACGGUAGGUGGAGAAGAAGCACCGGCCAACUACNUGCCAGCCGC
rnacentral:rRNA from 1 species